AAGUGGGAUUUGGCACCAUGUGCAAGCAAAGGGGAGCAGCAUAUGGUCAGUCCAUAGUACGUGACCAAGUCUGUGUGUGUUUUCAACACCUUGGCACCCCUGGGAAAGCUGUGGCCCUGGCUGUGUUAGCUCUAGGUGCAGGCUGGGCUUGGCCAGCGCCAGAGGGAAGAGGCGUGUAAUAUUCUCCUGCACUGCACACCCAGGCAGCUCACCAUCCCAUUUUGGGAGCCAGUCCAUUUCUGCCUGGCUGUAACAGCAGCCACAUACAGUUUUCUGCACUGAGUAGCUACUGUGGAUUUGCUUCCCUGUGGGUGCAGGCAGCUCCUUUCUGGACAGAGUCAUGAUGAUGCUGAUGUGGCAGAACAACUCCACUGCCAUGUGGGAGGGCUUGAUGCUGCAGCAGGAGGACUUGGAGAGCGUAAGCUGGAACCCAGUAAGUUUCAUGAGUCACCAUUGCUCCUAAAUUCCCUACCCCUUGGGAUGCUCCAGGUUUGAUGCACGCCUUAGGGAACCCCUGCUAGGACACUAGGCACUGGUGAGCCCCAGGACAGCCAUGAACAAAAUGGAAUUCAAGCAUGACCUAUCUCAUGGUUAUCACUCAUGUUGAGAGUAAGUUUACAUACAAUUUCCAUAAAACUUUGGGUGGGGAGCCUCAGAGAAGGUUAUAAUACCACUUGUCACCAAGUAGCUUCAUAAAGGCAAAUUGAAACGUAAAUCUACUGAAGAGGCCAUUUUAGAAAGGGAAGGAACUUAUUCCUCUUGCCAUCAGAAGCUCAGGGGCAUUCACAGGAGAUCCAUUUCCCUGGAGAAUAUACUUUCUGUUGAGCAGGAGGGGAUUAUGAUGACCGGAACAGCAAAGAGAGUGAGCAGGAAGGUCUAAAGGUGCUGGAGCAGUUUCAUUUUGUUCUUAUUUCCCCCUUCCAGCAGCACUACUGUGCACAGAGGCAUGAAAGGUGAGAGAGAUCUCUUUGCAUCAUACUGGGCCCUGUGGCAAAGGAGAUACCAGUCUGCCCCUGCAGCUAGAGGGGACUUUCAGAGCAGGAGUAGUCCAAGAAAUUACACUUACCUCACAGUUAGCUGACAGCAGAAGCUCCAAGCAAAGUCCUUCCAACCAUGAUGGUAUUAGCCACCUCCCUGAGCAGCCUCUUCUCUCUCGCCCAUGUCCACACACCAUCGAGAUGACUCUGCUCCCCAAAUAACCUCUGGAACUACUGUAGGAGCUCUAACAGCCUCAUUCAGGAGGGGUGAGAGCCUCAGUCAUCAAGGGUCAGCACUGAGGGCCAGGCAGUUCUGUGCUCCUCUGACAGGAACAGCUCCUCCAAGGUAUGACCUGACUUUGAAGCCAAGAGCUCAGAGGAUCAUCCUGAACAACUUUCUGGCACAUUCAAAGAUCUGCCUCUCUCUCACCUGCCAUUCACACAGACGUGCAAAGGGCAAGGACCAGAACUGAGGCCACCAGGGACCAAAUCUCCAUCCUCUUGCUUGACCAUUUGUCUUUAUCUCUGCUGAGUUUUUCACCUUUCCAGCAUUCUCACCUGCAGCUCAUUCACUGAAACACAGCAGGGUAUGUUACCCCAGCUGGCCAAAGCAAGGAUGAUUAACUGAGAAAAACAUAAAAUUUUAGGUGCUUUUCUGAUACCAAACAACACUUUUUCAGCAUGAAGAAAAUUUAAAUUACCCUAAUUUCAAGUUACUGGGAUCUCUUUUUUUUAAAAGGAAGAUACAAAUGGUUAAGGUUUGAGGCCUCCAAUAUAAAUAGAAACAGAUCACAUUUACAAGAUUAGGAUUUAGUACUUUUAGGUAAUAUUGUGAAUUUGAUAACAUUCAUGAUUUAGUAGGACUGCAGUGCAGAAACACUAAAUCUGCUUUGUGCUUUGGACAAAUCACUUAAUCACUCUGAUUCAUGGCAUCCAGCAUUAAUGGGAAGAGUCUCUUACACUAAACUUAUCACACAGGCAAGCUUUAUUUUGCCAAUCAGGACUGUGCCAGGAAAGUGCAAAUACCCAAAGAUUAUAGGCAAUGGUAAGAGAUGUAGCAAUAAGGAUGAUCUUGAUAAUUAUGUACCUUCAAAUGAGAGGAGAAACUUGUUCUAACUUGCAAAUGGAAUAAACCUGUCAUAGCUCUGAUAGGAGUCACCCAGGCUGGCAAGAACUAGGGAUUUUUUUUUCAGGUCUCUUUAAUAAACUGGUACCGUGGGGGAGUGGUGGAAGAUUCUGUGAGAAGUUCUGCUGAGAACACACUCCUUUGGUCCUCCGAAUUUUCAGAUUUCCCAAUCUGUUCUGCUUUCAACCACGCGCCAUUCUAGGUCCAAGCAACACUUCCCUGUCUAGCAGUCUGCUACAUUCACAGGUGCCUCACAAUGUCAGAGCAAAGACUUUGCAAAUAAAAGUCUAAGGAGAGCUCUAAAUAUUUGUUGGAUUAGGGCCUUACUUUGAGCUCUUAGUGCUGCUCAUAAGCCAGGGUCAGCCCCAAGAGCUACACUGACAUCACACGUUGGAAACACAGUGGUGAUUCAGCCCAAGAAAUUUUGCGGAGUAUUUUUUCCUCCCCAAUUUCUCUGAAACCAACAAAGGGAUAGAGAAGCCUGUGGCUGUUAUGAUCGCUGUUUCCUUUAGUAAACAACAUCAUUCUAGCAUUCUCCAACUCAGUUACUGUCUUUCCUAAUGGUUAAAUGCAGUCAUAAAGAAAGAAGGACAUCUCUUCAUUUAACCACAAAUUCAAAGCACAUCCAGAGAACUGAAUGUACCAGGGAAAUCCUGUAGGAAGAUGUUCUCUCACCACACCGCCAAUGAGACUGAAAAAGUGGAAACAGAGAAGACUUCUUGUUCAAAUUCACUUCUACAGAUACAAAAAAAUUUGGAAUAAUAUUAUACCUUCCUUUUCAGGAAGGUAUAAGUCAAUGAUAAAGUAGCCAACAGCUAUACUACCCCUAAGUUAUUCCUAGCAUCUAUUUAGGCAAGAAAAAGUUAAUCUUUAGGACCUUUAUAACAAUGUGCACAAAGAAAAGCAAAUCCAAGAAGCAUCUGUCAUCUCCGAGUCUGAGGGUGGUGCCAUUUUAAUUGCAUCAGCUCCAAGGAACAGGUUGGAUUAAAGGAAAAAAAAAAAAAAAGGAGCCACCAAACUAAUAUCUCAAGAACAUAAAACGCCAUCAGCAUGAAGGAAAAAAGGUUGGGAAAAGAUGUUAACAUUGAACUGAGUUGUGGUGCACUUGAUCCUGAUGUUACAUCUCCAAAUGGAGACAAAUGGAGCAUGUCUGCAUUUAAAGCCACUUUUACAACACAAGAGAAUGCUACAAUGGCACAAGGUUACAGGAGCAGGAGUCCCUGAGCAGGGACUGUUUAACCUUCGCCUCUGUCUCACACCUGAAGGGUUUGUCUCUGAAUGUUCUUCCUUGGCCCUUUCCUCUCUCAUCUCUUAACAUUGGGGGUUACACAACCAUUCAGCUGCAAACCAGUUUUGUUUUCAUUUUAGCUUUCACAACCUACCUGUUUUCUUUAAACAGGUACAAAGUAGUGAGGGGAUUUCUUUGUUACCUUUCACUGAAAUGUUCAUAUUAAGAUGGAAAAUUCCAGGGAGCAGUUAAGAACAGAGAAGGCAGGACUACCCUACAUCAAAGGGAAGCAACAUUUGCUAACUCUUUCAUUUUACAUGUAUGUGAUUCACGAACUGCUUCAUGAAAAUGGAAAAGUGAUCGAGGAAUCACUCAGGUCUGGAAAAAAAAAAAUAAACUAAUAGCAACAACCUAAUUUACAUGAAAAUGGGCUGGUCUCCAAAGCAUCUGCCAAGACCAGACACUGUAGUGCUUGCAGCUUUCCUUUGUUUGCUCUUCAAAGCAGGUAGAGCCAGGAAAAUUCCCGUGCCUCAUGGCAAGCUCUAAGAUGUGGUACAUGAUUUUCAGAUGAGGGAAUCUCACAUUUCUCCCUGAAUAUUUCACACUACAACAGCAAGGAGAAAAGCACAGACACAGCUGAAAUGAGGAGGAGAUGAAUUGAAAAGCUAAAAAUGUAUUCUUCAGCAUUACUCUGUAGUAUGGGGAACUGAGAAGGCAAUUAAAACCAACAUGAAAGGAGAUUUAAUUGCAAAUCAGCAAAACCUCCUGAAGCACAGAUAGCAAGAGUCAAAGAAACACCCCACCUGAAGCACAAGCCCUUCGCAGAGGAGAGCAUUGCCCUCAGCUCCACGGGCAGCUGAUGGGGAGAGACAGGCCCUUGCCAAGGUGCUGAGGGGCCCGAGGAGCCCCUCACUCUGCCGGGAUUCACCCUCACACACGGCCACAGCAGGGGAAGAGAUGCGGGACAAACCCAGCCGACCUCCCCUCCCCAUCCCUGCCGGGUCACCGCAUCCAGCGCUGAAGGGAAAUCCGAGGCCCCGAUGGGCCUGACUGAGCCCUGCCGGCCGCCUCGCCCCGGCCUCGCCUCCGGCACCGCGCCAUUGUUUCUGUGCCCGGGCUUUUAAAUCUGAGCUCCACGGACCCCAACACCUUCCCCGAGGACGGGGAGCCGGGAGAAGGGGAGAGGAGGCCCGGCAGCUGCUGAGGACACAGCGGGAGGACAGGCGAGACUGGUUUGGAGGCGGUGGGCAGCGCACGUAGGAAUGGAACGAGGCAGUGUUUCCAGUGAUCAUUGUGCAAAGGGACAACUCAAUAAGAUGGACCUUAGUGAACAGCAGCGUCUCACUGCUUGAGAUUCUGAAGGCCAGAAGCUUGUUCUUCACAUGGAAAACUUAGCCUGUUGAAAGAUGGCUCCAAAACGUGGGCUGUGCAAAGGACACAGCUGCCACCUCUUACCAAGGAGGCACCAGCCCUGGGAAGAGCCUGGUUCAGCAAAGCUGGAGCUGCUCACACACCCAGAUGCCUCCACAGCAGCUCCAACCUGAAGGAAUCCUUUGCCAACUGCAUGCCUCUCCUAGUGUAUUCCUGCCAGGAGAAAGCUGAUGGGACACUCCUCUCUCAGGCUGAGGUAGAAGCUAGUGAACAACUGUGACUCCCUGUGACACAGAAAUCACCAGAGUCACAAGUCCAGUUGUGUAAACUCAGUACUUUGCUUUCUUGGCAAGUACCUUGCAGUUAAGGAGGCACAGAGAGGCCUUGCUCCCAGGCAUUAAGAGCUUCAGCUGAAAAUCCUGUUUGAGGAACCAGUUCUGGAUUUCUCCUGUGAGACUUAAGGAAAAAAAUUUGAGGGGUUAAAAAGUGGCAGAAACGGGCACUUCUGAAGUUCUAUCUCCUCUGUGCAUAAGAGGUAAAGGAAACCAGGCAGCAGCCCUCUUCCUUUUCUGUUAGGAUUCCAGGCUGUGGAAUAAAGAUAAAUCCAAGUUCACUCUCCUGUCUUUGUUUCUAAGACUCAGUAAGACAGGGGAGAUAUGGCAGAGCCCAUCUGUGCAGCCAUAACCAUGGGAACACCAUCAACAAGGGUAAAUCAACAUGAGAUUCCCUAUCAUCAGUCUGUGUUUACCCUGGAGGCCUCAGGCUCCCUGCACCAACCUGGCUGGCAGUCCUGGACCUUGGUAUGGCUGUGGAACUAAGUAAGAACAGGGAUUUAUAAAACAAAUAUUCAUUUUUCUGUCCUAGUUCCCACCAUCUUAUAGAACACAUAUUUACAGCACCUGGUUUCUGCACUCUGCUUUGAAGCCAUGAUGCUGCCUUCCCCCUUCUCUCCCCCUGCCCAAGCUGCCCCAAACCUCAGCUUUUCCUUGACUCCUACCUCACAUUUGGCCUUGCCUCACUCCUUUUGUUUAGGAAAAGGUAGAAAGAGCUCUGGGUAUUUUCCUGAAGAUCAAACCCAGGGGAGGCAGCCCCAGUUGAGGCAAGGGCUGGUACCCCAGUGCAGGGAGCAGGGCAGCACGAAGGUAAAACAUUGCUCAACUGCAGUUGCAGCUGCUUGGCAUCUUAAAAAUGUGCAGGUCUCUGAACUUGCAGGGGUUGCGUCUGCACGCUGUGACACAGCCAAGGGUUGGAAUAUCAGGCAGCCCUGGAAGGAGCUGUUUGUACCUGCCCUUGGGAGCAGUUAUGCUUCACAUACUUUUCUCCUCCGCUUUGAAAGGUCACAUGGAAGAGCAGUAUUUGUGAAGGGGACGAGUGCUGGGGAGAAUGGGUACCUUGAAACAAACAUGAGAGCUUUUCCAGGUGAGCAGAAGCUCCUUCCCACUCCCAUUUUUUCUGGGGUGGCCACUGACAACAUCCACAGCCCAGCAACCACAAGCAUUUACUGCCUGGGCAGAGCCAGGGAGGGAUUGAUCCUGCCUCCCCUCAUUUCCUCAUUGCCUUUCCUCCUCCAUUUAUUUCCUUUGGGUUUUCCCCUUUGAUUAAACUUCUGGCAUGUUGGAAUGUUUAAUAAUAAAACAGAUAACUCAUGGGAGAUGAUAUUUAUAAAAUCUACUUCUUUUUUUUCACUUUUUGUAAGACCUUGAGAGAAAAUCUUGAACUACGUUCUUCCUUUUAAAAAUAAAAAACAAAAGCGGAAGGUGCAGUUAACAAGUUUUCAAACAAUCAAUGUUUUAUUUGGUUAAUUUAUUAAACACCUUUAAGACAAUUAAUUUUGGUCUGUACCCUUCUAUAAAAUGAUUCAAGUUCUGAACAAACCUCCGAUACAUAAAGCAAAGUUACUUUUACCAUACGCAAAUUUCAGAUCAAAAUACAACACUCUGUUUUCUUACAUUUAUAAAACCCAGUCAAAUACAAACAACAUUAAAAAAGAUAAAACACUUUCACUGAUCCUUGGUACAAUAUUACAGCACAAUUUGCACAGUGGCAACUAAGUCCUCAAAGCACAAGUCAAAUACUUUAAAAAGGGAGCCUCCCUUUAGUCACCCAACGUCCUACUGAACACGUAAACAAAGCGAGUGCUAGUGAAUCCAGGAAAAUUCCCGUGUCCCUUUUCAUACCAUGUGUGAGCCACGAAGCAAUUCUGCAAGGGAAGCUACUGGUGAGUAACCAAAGAGCUUUCCUACUUUGCUGUUACCAGGUUUUGUGCAACUACUCCAUGAAAAUAAACGAAUGGAGGUGGACCAGACUCUGCACUAGGCAAUUUAUGGCAACUAAAGUAAACCAAGAAAUGAGUGUUUUUCUAAAAACAGACCACAAAACUAUUUUUAAAAAAAAAA